CGCUGACACCCAUCCACUCUGGGCUCUCUAAAUCCCACAUUCCCACAAUGCACCUUGGUAACUCCAUUCUCCUCUAUCCCUAAUCCCCCUAUUCCCUUCCCUUAGGUCCUCCUGGACACCCCAACCCACAGUCAGGCCCCCACAUACAUCCCAGUCACUCAUUCACAUGCUGUGCUAGUUCUUCAGGGACCCCCACAGCCCAGCAAACUUCUCCAUCCAUGAGCCCCAUGGACCUGUGGCCGGGAAGGUGAGGAAGCUCCCACUUUGGCUGAGCUGGGUAGCUGAGGACAGACAGGUCUGAGGAGCAGAGCAGGAGCUCUGGGAAGGAGAAGAGCAAUAUGAAGAUGGAGUGUAAGAUGAGGCCAGGGAAAAGAAGUCUUGGGGACGGAGUCCAGCCCUGAGGUAAGAUGGAAAGUGAUCGAGAGCAGUGACAGCGUGAAUCCUGUUGAUGCCAGGCAAGAGCUGCCCAACUGGGACAAGAGUAACCGUCUCUGUCGGUGAGAUGUGUAUCUGGUUUGGGAAGGGCUCUGGUCACAGCCCUCCUGGCUCCAGGCAGGGACUUCCCGUUAUCUGGGUGUGGGUUUCCGGACUAGCUGUGGCUUCAAGGGAGAUG